UGCACCGAGCGGAUGAGUUGCGAACGGGUGAGUAACGCGUAGGUAACCUGCCUCUUAGCGGGGGAUAACUAUUGGAAACGAUAGCUAAUACCGCAUAAAAGUCGAUAUCGCAUGAUAUUGAUUUGAAAGGUGCAAUUGCAUCACUAAGAGAUGGACCUGCGUUGUAUUAGCUAGUUGGUGAGGUAACGGCUCACCAAGGCGACGAUACAUAGCCGACCUGAGAGGGUGAUCGGCCACACUGGGACUGAGACACGGCCCAGACUCCUACGGGAGGCAGCAGUAGGGAAUCUUCGGCAAUGGGGGCAACCCUGACCGAGCAACGCCGCGUGAGUGAAGAAGGUUUUCGGAUCGUAAAGCUCUGUUGUAAGAGAAGAACGAGUGUGAGAGUGGAAAGUUCACACUGUGACGGUAACUUACCAGAAAGGGACGGCUAACUACGUGCCAGCAGCCGCGGUAAUACGUAGGUCCCGAGCGUUAUCCGGAUUUAUUGGGCGUAAAGCGAGCGCAGGCGGUUAGAUAAGUCUGAAGUUAAAGGCUGUGGCUUAACCAUAGUACGCUUUGGAAACUGUUUAACUUGAGUGCAGAAGGGGAGAGUGGAAUUCCAUGUGUAGCGGUGAAAUGCGUAGAUAUAUGGAGGAACACCGGUGGCGAAA
rnacentral:rRNA from 1 species